rnacentral:lncRNA from 1 species
CGACAACAGUGACAGAGGCGCCGCGAAGGUUCACCUGCCGCAGGACACGCCGAGCCCCUUGGCUUCCCGGUGACAAUGCACACUUCGGGAUUUCCUUUCCCCCGAGGCAUCAAAGGUUACCGCAAGCAUCGCCAGCCGCCAAGAGAUGUUUUAAGAUUCAAAGGUUUACAGGAUGUGCCACUUCAGAGCCCACGGCAAACUAACGCACCCUCGGAGGGCACUUGUGAAGGCAGCCCGUGCCCAUGCGGGGGGAUCGCGCUGACCUUGCUGACACCGCGGGCUCCGGCGCUUGCUCCCGCUCUGCCUCCCGCUGUGGCCGCACCGGGGCUCCCGCACACCGCGGUGUCCCCCUGCCCGGGACCCACAGGGGCCCCGCGGGGCUGCGGGGAGGUGCGGGAUCGGGAGAGCGGCUGCUGCUGGCUUUGCGCGUUUCGGUGAUGGACCGACACAUGAGCUCUGCAUUAUUCCACCUGGGAGGAAGAACUGCCGAAGUCCUUCCAAAUCUUCGCCUCUCGCACUUUCCAGCAGUGAAACAAGACGACCCCUUGGCCAUUAGCGCAUCCUUCGUCCCCGCGGCUGCCAGAAACCCCGGCGAGGCUGGUGGGGGACUCUGGGGCUGCCAGCUCAGCUCAGCCCUGCGCUGCGCGGAGAGCCGGCACCUGCGCCCUCCCGGGCCACCUCAGCCAUGCGGAACACGGAGCGCGCCCGCCGCGAACGCACUCCGGGGGCGCCCCGGGAGAAAUCCUCAGCGGUGGAGCCUGAGGAGGGGGAGGAAAGCCCGGACCUUUCUAUCUCGGGAUGGGCUGAGGACUUUUGGGAAACGGCCAGGGCCGAUUUCUGCAGCCAUUCCCGUCUAGCCAGCGCCAGGGAGAGAGAAGAAUCUCCCGCCCCGCUGCACUCCUCUAGCACAAGCCGGGAGCGCUGGCAGCAGCUCCCCUCGGGGGCGCCCGGCAUGCCGAGAGGAGCUGUUCCCUCCGUGCAGGAAGCAUUUGUCUGCUUCUUCCCCAGGCAUCCCGAUCCCGAUUCCAGUCAUACUCCGGCGUAAAUCGCUCCAGGUCUCGCACACCGGGCGCCCGCGUCCGGGCUUGGGUGCCCAGUUGAAAGCAAUGGGCAGGGAGAUGGCGGUUCAGGGACAGCAUCUCCUUUGUCAGUGUCCAGACCGAGGCGGUUCGGAACACUUUGCCCUGUCCCCUCCAAACACGGCCCGAUCCAAAUCUCUGAGAGGCUUCAUUGCCCGCUGUUACAUGGCUGCGGUAAUUCCUGAUAAUGCUCAAUCUUCGAUUGUGCUCAAAGGCAUACUCUACAAGAUUAAACAAUAGCUGGAGGAGGAUGAUUCUACUGAGAGUCACACUCGAUCCCGAGAAAAACGGGCUCGGGAACCUGCUUCAACCUGAGCACCGCAGCGGCACCUCCCCAGCCGACGUUUUCCCGUUCCGUUCCCCUCUGCCUUGCUAACUAAUUAAGGGACCGGUAAUUCUUACUAAACCCCUAAAUGAUCCCCCCGCGGUUCGGAGGUGGGCGAGACAGACAGAAACAGCGAUAAAUCCCCAGCCCUUCCCCUCCUGCUCACGCCGCUCACAGCACGCAGGGGGAUCUGUCUCCUUUCACUCAGGUAACUGAUCAGAGUUUGAUUAUUUAAGUGCCAAGAGCAGCAGAAAUAAAGCUGCGAAGCAUCUCCAGGAGCUCGGGGAGCAGAGGGGCAGGAACUCAUCACGGAGGGCCCAAUCCCGCAUUUCUCGCUGCCGAGCGCUGCGGGCACCACGGGAGCCGGGAGCCGCCGGCAAGGCGGGACCAGUCUUCCCUGUCCGGGCUGACGGGGGCACUGGAACUCUUUCGAGCUGCGUAGAGGAUAUUUUGUUUAUCCUUUGAGGGUAAAAGAGGGGGUUUUCGAUGCACAGAGAAGCAAAGGUGCGUGACCUCUCCCUGUCUCUCCGCUGACGGGAGCGGGGCACUGCUGGGUCGGGCGCUGCGGUCCCUCCGAGGCGGGGACCCCGCGGGGAUGGCGAGCAGCCAUCGAUGGCGAGCAGCCGCACCGGGGCUGCGCGGCGGGGAGCCCCAAGCCCCGCGGGGUCCUGUACGACUCCCUUCGCCCCGGCUCUUCCCCGGCUCCGCCGGGGCAGCGCGGCCCGGGGCAGCCUCCCCAGCGCCGCGACCGCCGUGCAGCGGCGGCGGGCCGGGGCCGGCCGGCGGGGCUCGGGCCAUUAUUGUACCGUAAAUCUUGGAAACGCUGGAACUAAUUACGGAGAGGAUAUGUCUCAAUUUGUUCCGCAUUAGUGCCGCGCCGGGACGCAGGCACCGAGCACGGGAAAUUGAUGGGCCCGGCCCGGCCCGGCCCAGCCCCGCCGGAACGGCGGCCCUGACCCCGCGUUCAACCCGGGGGGCGGCCCCGCUCCGCCUCCCGCACCUGCGGGGCCCCGAGGCCGCCGCC